GCGGGCCACGCCCCCACCCUGCUUUUGCCCCGGGUCGCGUCAGAAACAGCCGCAGGGCACCAUGGGAGAGAGAGUCCUCAAGCCUAAGACCUCCCCUAAAUGAGCUGCCAGCUGCCCUACAAUUCCCAGGAGGCAUUGCAGCUCAAGGGGCCGCGGCGUGGCUUCGGGGCGUCGGCGAGGAGUGCGCUUAUGCGCGCAAAGGUCUAGGGGAGCUGUAGUCUGAUUUUCCAUCUCCGCGCUCUGACCGGGUGUUUUCCUAGCGCUUCCUUGGGGGGAAGUUUGAAGCCCCGCGUCUGGGGGUGGGGCAGUCACCCGAGGCGGAGGGGUUACAUCAGAAUGAAGCUUUGUGGCGCUCUUUGGUUAGGCCCCUUAGCGAGAUCGCAGACAACAGGUUUUGGACCUGGAGAGCUGCAAAAUUCACGGCGACACGUCCCUCCAGCCGACUGGCUCCGCCCCUGCCUCAGUUUCUUCCCCGACAGCUGGCGUGCCGUCUGGGGCUCUUGCAGUCGGCAAAGGGUAAACACACUCAGCGACAGAAACCAGUGCACAAGACACUAGAAAGGCAGAGUGGAGAAGCAGUUAGUGUUACUGGGCUGGGAGUCAGGACGCCAAGGUUCAAUUCCUAGUCCCAUGGCUGUCUCAUGAUUCACCACUCAACCUAUGUCCACUUCCCCUCUUUCACAAACAUCAGGAUGCUUUCACACAGCCAAGAAAUAAAAGAGCCCUUUCCUCCCGA